rnacentral:rRNA from 1 species
AGAGUUUGAUCCUGGCUCAGAGCGAACGCUGGCGGCAGGCUUAACACAUGCAAGUCGAGCGGGCAUAGCAAUAUGUCAGCGGCAGACGGGUGAGUAACGCGUGGGAACAUACCUUUUGGUUCGGAACAACACAGGGAAACUUGUGCUAAUACCGGAUAAGCCCUUACGGGGAAAGAUUUAUCGCCGAAAGAUUGGCCCGCGUCUGAUUAGCUAGUUGGUGAGGUAACGGCUCACCAAGGCGACGAUCAGUAGCUGGUCUGAGAGGAUGAUCAGCCACAUUGGGACUGAGACACGGCCCAAACUCCUACGGGAGGCAGCAGUGGGGAAUAUUGGACAAUGGGCGCAAGCCUGAUCCAGCCAUGCCGCGUGAGUGAUGAAGGCCCUAGGGUUGUAAAGCUCUUUUGUGCGGGAAGAUAAUGACGGUACCGCAAGAAUAAGCCCCGGCUAACUUCGUGCCAGCAGCCGCGGUAAUACGAAGGGGGCUAGCGUUGCUCGGAAUCACUGGGCGUAAAGGGUGCGUAGGCGGGUCUUUAAGUCAGGGGUGAAAUCCUGGAGCUCAACUCCAGAACUGCCUUUGAUACUGAGGAUCUUGAGUUCGGGAGAGGUGAGUGGAACUGCGAGUGUAGAGGUGGAAUUCGUAGAUAUUCGCAAGAACACCAGUGGCGAAGGCGGCUCACUGGCCCGAUACUGACGCUGAGGCACGAAAGCGUGGGGAGCAAACAGGAUUAGAUACCCCGGUAGUCCACGCCGUAAACGAUGAAUGCCAGCCGUUAGUGGGUUUACUCACUAGUGGCGCAGCUAACGCUUUAAGCAUUCCGCCUGGGGAGUACGGUCGCAAGAUUAAAACUCAAAGGAAUUGACGGGGGCCCGCACAAGCGGUGGAGCAUGUGGUUUAAUUCGACGCAACGCGCAGAACCUUACCAGCCCUUGACAUCCCGGUCGCGGACUCCAGAGAUGGAGUCCUUCAGUUCGGCUGGACCGGAGACAGGUGCUGCAUGGCUGUCGUCAGCUCGUGUCGUGAGAUGUUGGGUUAAGUCCCGCAACGAGCGCAACCCCCGUCCUUAGUUGCUACCAUUUAGUUGAGCACUCUAAGGAGACUGCCGGUGAUAAGCCGCGAGGAAGGUGGGGAUGACGUCAAGUCCUCAUGGCCCUUACGGGCUGGGCUACACACGUGCUACAAUGGCGGUGACAAUGGGACGCUAAGGGGCAACCCUUCGCAAAUCUCAAAAAGCCGUCUCAGUUCGGAUUGGGCUCUGCAACUCGAGCCCAUGAAGUUGGAAUCGCUAGUAAUCGUGGAUCAGCAUGCCACGGUGAAUACGUUCCCGGGCCUUGUACACACCGCCCGUCACACCAUGGGAGUUGGUUUUACCUGAAGACGGUGCGCUAACCCGCAAGGGAGGCAGCCGGCCACGGUAGGGUCAGCGACUGGGGUGAAGUCGUAACAAGGUA